AAGUCGUAACAAGGUAACCGUAGGUGAACCUGCGGUUGGAUCAUUAACAAUGGGUCUUGUACCUAACACUGUGUGAACUGUAUUUGUAAUUGGUGCUCUAGGGCACCGCUAUUUUAAUCUUGUAAGUCUUGAAUUUAUUAUCAAAUAAAAAACAACUUUUGACAAUGGAUCUCUUGGCUCUC
rnacentral:misc_RNA from 1 species